GUCGAGCUCUACAUUUCUACCAGAACAAUUUUAUAGGAUCCAAUUAGCUUGAGAAAAACGUUCACUCUUGCUUAUGUGAAGCUUGGGUAAGGUUGUGAAUAAAUAAUUGGAGCUUGAAAUUGUGAAUACUGGAACUUGGAGGAAGCGGAUUAGUUGAGGUUUUGAGGGCUGUGUUCUUUUAGAAAAAUUGUCUUGGAAUAAUACUUGGGAAUCGGCUAAGGUAUGGUUUAGGUUUCUUGCAUUUAAUAUAUAAUGUUCUGUGAAAA